rnacentral:rRNA from 1 species
CCUACGGGUGGCUGCAGUGGGGAAUAUUGGGCAAUGGGCGCAAGCCUGACCCAGCAACGCCGCGGGAAGGAAGAAGGCUUUCGGGUUGUAAACUUCUGUUCUGAGGGACGAAGGAAGUGACGGUACCUCAGGAAUAAGCCACGGCUAACUACGUGCCAGCAGCCGCGGUAAUACGUAGGUGGCAAGCGUUAUCCGUAUUUAUUGGGUGUAAAGGGCGAGUAGGCGGGAAAGCAAGUCCGAUGUGAAAACUCAGGGCUCAACCCUGAGCCUGCAUUUGAAACUGUUUUUCUUGAGUGCUGGAGAGGCAAUCGGAAUUCCGUGUGUAGCGGUGAAAUGCGUAGAUAUACGGAGGAACACCAGUGGCGAAGGCGGAUUGCUGGACAGUAACUGACGCUGAGGCGCGAAAGCGUGGGGAGCAAACAGGAUUAGAUACCCUAGUAGUC